GAUGAACGCUGGCGGCGUGCCUAAUACAUGCAAGUCGAGCGAACGGACGAGAAGCUUGCUUCUCUGAUGUUAGCGGCGGACGGGUGAGUAACACGUGGAUAACCUACCUAUAAGACUGGGAUAACUUCGGGAAACCGGAGCUAAUACCGGAUAAUAUUUUGAACCGCAUGGUUCAAAAGUGAAAGACGGUCUUGCUGUCACUUAUAGAUGGAUCCGCGCUGCAUUAGCUAGUUGGUAAGGUAACGGCUUACCAAGGCAACGAUGCAUAGCCGACCUGAGAGGGUGAUCGGCCACACUGGAACGGAGACACGGUCCAGACUCCUACGGGAGGCAGCAGUAGGGAAUCUUCCGCAAUGGGCGAAAGCCUGACGGAGCAACGCCGCGUGAGUGAUGAAGGUCUUCGGAUCGUAAAACUCUGUUAUUAGGGAAGAACAUAUGUGUAAGUAACUGUGCACAUCUUGACGGUACCUAAUCAGAAAGCCACGGCUAACUA
rnacentral:rRNA from 1 species